rnacentral:sRNA from 1 species
CGCAGCUGAAAGAUUCCACUUAUUUAAAACCUACAAUUCGGUGUAUUAGUCAUAAUUCUUCGUCCUGCAGUUUAUAAGUUUGAGUUCCAAAGCUACAUCGCCUUACCAAAAAGGCUAAAAAGCUAAUUAAAUUCAAAGGAUAUUAUUAUGUCUAAUAAAAUCAUCGGUACUGUAAAAUGGUUUAACUCUGAUAAAGGUUUUGGUUUCAUUUCUCAAGAAUCAGGUCCAGAUGUAUUUGCACACUUCCGUGCAAUCGUUGGUGACGGUUUCAAAACCUUAGAAGAAGGCCAAAAAGUUGAGUUCGUAGUAACUCAAGGCGCGAAAGGCCCUCAAGCGGAAAACAUUGUUGCGCUGUAAUAUACAACGCUCAUAAUUCCGAAAAAGCAUGCCACAAGGCAUGCUUUUUUUA